UACAGAGGGGGCAAGCGUUGUUCGGAAUUACUGGGCGUAAAGGGCGCGUAGGCGGCCUGUUAAGUCGAACGUGAAAUCCCCGGGCUCAACCCGGGAACUGCGUCCGAUACUGGCAGGCUCGAAUCCGGGAGAGGGAUGCGGAAUUCCAGGUGUAGCGGUGAAAUGCGUAGAUAUCGAGAGGAACACCAGUGGCGAAGGCGACUACCUGGCCCAUUCUUGACGCUGAGGCGCGAAAGCUAGGGGAGCGAACGGG
rnacentral:rRNA from 1 species